rnacentral:misc_RNA from 1 species
GAGCAAGCCGGCCUCAUCACAAGAAGCGGCCGUUAAGAUCCAAACAAAAGACAACGGAAACAUGGCAUCACUAGCGACCGCUCAAACACGGAGCCCUGAACUCAGGCACGAUCCUGUCACUAACCGGUGGGUCGUUUUCUCACCCGCCCGAGCCAAACGACCCACUGAUUUCAAAUCCAAAAUCCCUGAAAACCCUAAUCCUAGCAACAAUUCCUGCCCUUUCUGCAUCGGCAACGAGCAUGAGUGUGCCCCCGAAAUCUUUCGGGUUCCACCCGACCCGGGAAACCCAGAAUGGAAGAUCCGGGUCAUCGAGAAUCUUUACCCGGCGUUGAGCAGAAACCUUGAUAACCCAUCCGAGCAAAGCCUUGGAUUGGAUUGUCCGGGUCGGAUAUUAAACGGGUUUGGUUUCCACGAUGUGGUGAUAGAGGUUCCGUUUCACUCGGUCCAGCUUCGGGAUAUGGAAACGAGAGAGAUUGGCGAUGUUUUGCUC